CCUACGGGUGGCAGCAGUCGAGAAUCAUUCACAAUGGGGGAGACCCUGAUGGUGCGACGCCGCGUGGGGGAAUGAAGGUCUUCGGAUUGUAAACCCCUGUCAUGUGGGAGCAAAUUAAAAAGAUAGUACCACAAGAGGAAGAGACGGCUAACUCUGUGCCAGCAGCCGCGGUAAUACAGAGGUCUCAAGCGUUGUUCGGAAUCACUGGGCGUAAAGCGUGCGUAGGCUGUUUCGUAAGUCGUGUGUGAAAGGCGCGGGCUCAACCCGCGGACGGCACAUGAUACUGCGAGACUAGAGUAAGGGAGGGGGAACCGGAAUUCUCGGUGUAGCAGUGAAAUGCGUAGAUAUCGAGAGGAACACUCGUGGCGAAGGCGGGUUCCUGGACAUUAACUGACGCUGAGGCACGAAGGCCAGGGGAGCGAAAGGGAUUAGAUACCCCGGUAGUC
rnacentral:rRNA from 1 species